AAGAUCUACACUUUUGAAAGAUCAACUACUGUCAUGGUGGAGCAACAAUCUGAAGAGCAUCUUGCUGAGUGAAAUUCAACUCUUCUAGAGAGAUUUUGUGAGAUUUGCCUAUUUAGACAUUGGAAGACAAAUUACAGAUAGUGCUAGAAUAACAAGGUCGUUUUUCCACGAGCUCCAGACUGGAAGUGGUACUUUCCAGGCCCAGGGCGAUGUUCUGCUGUCUGGAGAUGUAAAUGCCAGGACCGGUUCUGAGUGUGACAGCGCCGGAGCUCUCGGGAAUAAACUCUCAGUCAAAACCGCUCCGUACCUGCUCUCCGGACUGAAGCGAAAAACACUGAAGUCAUACAGGAUUGGAAGAACAUGAAGCUGAGUAACUGGCAUGUUCCUUUAAGUUUAUUCGGAGCAGCAGACUGAAGAGAGUCUUACUGAGCAAUUUGGAAGACGGACAGUAAGGCUGAAUAUCCAGACUCAAGAAUCCUGCCAGAGCCGGAACAAUCUACCUACGAGACCGAGAGAGCGAGGAGAAACAUGGGAAACACUGUUGGCACAUGAGGCGAUUGAGAAUGGCACUGUGCCUCCAGAGCUGCGCAAGAGCAACAUCUGAGCAAUAACACUUUCCUCUGGGCUGUGCUCUACAGGCUCCAGAAAACAAUCCCUGGGGAGGCGACGCGCAAACCUGCGGACAGUCCUCGUGGUCCAUCAAUGGGUCUCUGGGGUCUCUGCGAGUCUCUGACGUGUUCAAGUGCAGGUUAAUUCUUGGCUUUUAGUGUCAGUAAACAGUGUGCUGGAUUAGAGCACAGCCAUCGAUCUUACCGCUGUAAGAGAGAGAGCAUCAAUACACACACAUUCACCCAGAGACAGACACUCCCGCUAAAUUGCUUUGAAAUCCCCAUUCAGACAUUAUAACAUUAGCACACCACUAAAUGCCUCCGAACGAAUGAGUAUUUGUCAGGAAGAAUAGAGCUGCGUUGUGUCUUAUACAGUUGUUCAGACUGAAUUAUUUUAAAGGCGUGUCUUUAAAAUAUUUAUGCGCUGCUAGCAGUACUAAACACCAAAUUUACACACUUCAGAUGACAAAAUGGAGGAAAUAAGAAAUUCUCUGUUUUUAUAUAGAGAGAUAGUUAUAGAUGUGCGUGUGUGUGUGUGUGUGUAGAAGAUUGUCUAAGAACGUUUUGCUGUUAUGAAAAUGUUUUAAAAUAUUUUAGAAACAUUUUUUCUCAUGUGUAUGUUAAGGGAAUAUUUCAUUUUGUUAUUUUGCAAUAUAUAAAAUAUAUAAUGCGAUAUAAAUAAUGCAAUAUUUAUAUAUAUAUGUUUUUUAAUUUGUGGUGUAUAUCGCAUAAAAAUGUAUCACAUUAAAAAAUCUGUCUAAAAUGUUUAUGCAACUUUAUCCAGGAGCUGUGGAGACGUUAUUCAGAUUCAUACUGUAGUCUUGAGUGUGCGUUGCAUCAUUCUGUGCUGCUGAACUGAAUACCCACAAUCCUUCAAGGCACAAAAUUGGUCCCGAACAGAAACGAAGACGAGCGCUUGUGAGAGCUGCAGUAGAGCCGCUGUUUCAACAAACCACCGUCAGUAUUUAAUAUUCAGAAAACUGGCACAAAAAGUUCUGCUCUGUGGAGAAAUCAUGUUGAACUUCCUUCAGAGAGGAAGCAGAAGCUCCUGUCCUUCCUUUCAUCUGUUCAUCUCCACAGGUUGUGCGUUUAUCAUAAUUGAAGGAGUGUGAGAGAGUUGCAUGUUGAUAUAGUGAAUAAACACACUCUCAUACAGACAGAAGGGCGGCGUGACUUUGCUCUGCUUAAGUGAUUCUGUUCUUCAUAACCUCCAGCCAUGUGUCUGUUUGUUGCAGUAGGUGUUGAAUAAUGUCAGUGUGAUAACGUCUGUAUUUUCUCAUGGUCCAGGCCUCCAGUCUGUGUCUGACCCACAAUCCCAUUGGAUAACAUGGACAAACAAAACGCUGGAACAUCUGUGAUCAGAAAGAAAGAAAAAGAUCAACAGAUCUUCCAGUGACUUCUAGUAUUUGUGUACGAUGAGAGAGUUAGCCGUUAACAUUCCCAUCCGUCAACACCCGGAUGUGCUUGUGACCUGCAUGCUGCCGUCUUUAGUCAUAACUGCACAAAUCUGGUUCUCCGGCACGACUGACAGCGGAGCUGAGUUAGCGAUUUAUCUUCAAGAUGACUGCAGGAGGCAUUCAGCCUUGCACUAAAGCAGUGGCGAUUGCUCUGAGAUUCACUGGUCAUGUUUUGACACGCGGGUCAGCGUUUGAGACGGUGUUUGACGUGUGGAGCUCAUGCCGCUGAAGAUGCUGUGUUGUGAUCCCAACUGUGGGUUAAACAGCGUUUGAAGAGUCGAGGUCCAGUCUCAGGUGCAGGAGAUUUACAGAGAAACGUGGAUAAAAGCUAAAAAAACAGGAGAAAAUGAUAGUGACAGCAGAAAAUAAGCCAGAAGCCCUCAGAUCCGCGCCCAGCUCCAGAGAUGAAGACGCCGAGCUACGUGAAGAACAUCAUGGACGGAGAUCCGCGUGGGCGGGAGAGGUCGUCUGCACGUGUCUUCGGAGGAACAUCAUGAGCAUCAGCGUGUUUUACAACCAGUGUUUUGUCUGCUGAGAGCGUCGGCACGGAUCCUCCACACAAACACAUGCCGGCUGCUGUUUGGAGUCAUUUAGAUGAUCUGGAGAAAUGUUUCAUUGCAUCACUUGCUCACCAACGGAUCCUUUGCAGUGAAUGGGUGCCGUCAGAAUGAGAGUCCAAACAGCUGAUAAAAACAUCACAAUAAUCCACAAGUAAUUCGCACCACUCCAGUCCAUCUGUUAAUGUCUUGAGAAGCCAAAGCUGCAUGUUUGUAAGAAACAAAAGACAUUUUUAAGAUGGUUGCAAACCAUUAUUUACAACUCACAGUUCAGUUUCACACAUGCUGAAGUAGGGCUGUGGUGUGAUUUCAAUUAUUAAAAGUAUUUCAUUGCAGUCAUAAAAGUUAUUGCAGAGAUUUCUUGGCACAUUUGCACUGUUUCCUCAUUUGCAUAAUUCAUUUAGUGAAUCAAGUGCUAAAAGUGUGCAAACAAAUCAACGGCCUCAGUUUGUUCUUAGUGUUCUUAGCUCCCCUCGUGCGUUCGGCUGCACAUGACGCCUUUAAUUAGCGUGUCAUGUCAAUUAAACUUUAAUUAAAAGUUACAUUUCGUGCAACUUGUGUAGAUUUGUGUCAUUUGUGUGAACUGGAGCCUUCAUGGGCAGUUUAAGCUGAGAUCAGAUGCUGGAGAAGACUGACACGCAUCGCUCAUGAUGAAAGCGGGGGUUUGAUUGGCUCGUAAUGAAGUUGUCACGCACAAUCAGAGCUCACAUCUACAAAUCCCCUGCGGCCGUCACGCUGGACAUGACAGCAGUGAUGGAUGAUGGGAGAAAACAUGGUGUUAUGGGAGCCCAGGAGGUGCGUGACAACAGGAGGUCAGCAGCUCCAUCUGAUCAGGUUUGGUAAGCGGAUUGAUUACAUGAACUCAAUCACAGAAUCAUCUCACGCACUCAGUCGCAUUACUGAUAACAGCUAACUGGAAAAGUUAUGAACGUUCUUCCAGUAACAUUAAUAGAAUGUUCAUUCAAAGUGUGAAACUUUAAUGAUGUUCUCAAAAGGUUAGAACAAGAACUUCAUUUAUAACGUUGUUCCUGGAACCUUUUUUUUUAAAUGUUACCACUUCUUUUAGAACAUUCAGAAGUAACAUUCCAAUAAUGUCUGCAAAAUUAUGAAAUGGAAUGUUCUCUUAACACUCAUGCAACCAAGACAGAACGUUUUUUAAACAUUUAAAAUACAGGAUGUUUGGAAUGUUCAGAGAACAUUCAGAAAUAACCUGUUCAUAACCUAAUGGGAACAUUAGAAAACGUUCUUGCAACUAAUUUUUUGUUUGUUGCCCAGGUUACAAAUUUAGAUUAUUAUAAUGUUAUGAGAACAUGGUUUUGAAAUGUUUCUAAAAUGCCGAAAUGUCCAUUUUUCUUAGGUUAACGGUAUUUAAAGGUUACAAAAACAUUUCCUAAACAUUAUUUUCACUUAAAAUAUAAUGGUAUUUUUUCUUUUCAGAAUUUUUUCUUUUUGUCAUGAUUAUAACAUUUUUUAAAGUACGUUUCUUACAACAUUUCACUUGGUUUACACCACAUAUGUGACCCUGGGCCACAAAACCAGUCUUAAGUAACACAUGUAUAUUUGUAUUAGCCAAAAAUACAUUGUAUGGGUCAAGAGUAUCAGUUUUUCUUCUGUGCCAAAAAUCAUUCGAAUAUUCGAAUAUGAUGUUCUGUGAAGAUAUUUUGUAAAUUCUCUACCAUAAAUAUAUCAAAACGUAAUUUUUGAUAAAUAAUAUGCAUUGCUAAGAACUUCAUUUGGACAACUUUAAAGGCGAUAUUUAGAUUUUUUUUUUUUGUAUCUCAGCCAAAUAUUACUUUAAGAACAAUUUGUCCAAACAUUUGUAUAACUUUUAAAAAACAUUUCCAAUUUAAAUAACUUGUAAAAUAUAAACAAUUAAAAUGAAUCACAAGAAAAACUUAUUUUUCUGUAUGUCCUCUGUCCAUUAGCAUCAAAGAAUUGUCAACAUGCAAAUAUGUUGUUCAGUUAUUAAAAUAUUAUCUUAAAAUCUGUUGUUUGGCUGACAAAAGAAGUUUGUGAAUCUCUGAAUUACAGUAUGUUUGUUUAUUGCUGCUGUUUUAAUUGCUUUCUUCAAAUGCCAAAUGUUUCUCUUUCUCGUUU